UUAAAAAAAAAUCUGUUGACGUAUCAUCCAACGUAAUUUAAAAGUUAAUUGGCAACAGGUGAAUACAAUUACAAUGGCUAAUCACAUACGUUUUGAAAUCUUAUUCUUAAUGUUUGACGCAAGUUGCAUUAAAAAGUAUAAAUAGGUUUCAGAAUUGUGUUGUUGUUUUAGAACGUUGCUUUCACGAUCAUUUAAGAGCACUUAUAUACAUGGACAACGGAUUUCAUCUUAUGAGGUGUGUUACCUUUAACCAUAUGGAUGAUGAUGUAUUUGUGCAAAUUUUGUGAUUGCUCUCUGAAGACAGUUAAGGGAUAUGUUAAUCAUCAAAUCGUACACAGACAUGAAGCAAAUGCUCAGUUUCCAUGUUGCUUCCCAGAAUGCAAAUGUAAAUUCUCAAAAUACAAUGCUCUCAAAGCUCAUGUUUAUCGCCAUCACAAAAGACCACAUACUCAUUUUGAUGAUUCGACGGGCACGUUUGUUUGCAACAAUACAGACUGUCAACAACAAUUUACAGACAUGAACAAUGUCCUUUCUCAUCUCAGGUCACAUUUAGCCAAGGGAGAGGUGGUGUGUUGUCCUUUUGAAAAAUGUGACAAAAAAUUCAGUUUAAGAUCAAGUUUCACUGCCCAUGUUUCACGAAAGCACAGGACUUCUACAUUUGCACAAUUACGGAUUAUGGAUACUUUAUCUGAGCAACCUUCUUCAGCAUUUUUUGAUGUUACUGAGGAGGAGGUUGAUGAAAGUGAAUUCACAGACUCCCUGACGAAAUGUAACGCAAAGUCAUUGUACAUGAAAAAUCUCUGCCUGUUUUAUAUGCAGCUACAAGCAAAAUACCUGGUGCCAUCGUCAACCAUUCAGAUGAUUGUGGAGGAAUUCAGUGGUUUAAAUUAUAUCUGUUAUCAGUACACACAGAAGAUGUUCAGGGAAAUACUCAAGUCAAAAACGGCCCUCUCACAAUGUGAGAUUGAAUCUGUGGUGCAGACUUUGCAAGGCCAAGAUUUACAUUCAGCUUGUAAUUCAUUACUUUCCACAGAAUACCAAAGAAGACAGUAUUAUCAGAAAAAUUUUUCGUACGUGCAACCACAAAGUAUGUGUCUUGGUCGUGAUGAGAACCGAAACCAACGUUAUGCACAGUAUAUUCCAUUGAAGAACACUUUAAAAACCAUGUUAAUAGACCCAGUGGUGUGGGAGCAGUGUGCCAGACAUCAGCAUGUACACUCUUCUGUGUUCUCUGACAUCUGUGAUGGCUCUGUAUUCAAAUCCAAUGACUUGUUUAAGCAGCCUGAGAUUACACUCCAACUUAUCUUGUACCAGGAUGCCUUUGAGAUUGUGAAUCCCCUUGGGUCAGCUAAAAAAAGACACAAAAUGAUUGGAGUGUAUUUUACACUUGGCAACUUUGAGCCAUUUUACAGAUCAUGCAUUGAUAACAUUCAGUUAUCACUUUUGUGUUAUGAGAGAGACUUUAACUAUUUUGGUCAAACCAAGAUUUUUGCUAAGUUGUUGGCAGAUGUCAAAGAACUUGAAGAGCAUGGAUUUGUGACAUCUUCAGGUGACAUAGUACGUGCAACAAUAGUGACUAUUAUCGGUGAUAAUUUGGGGUCCCACUGCAUCGGUGGGUACUCACAGAACUUCAGUACUGCCAAGCAUUGCUGUAGGUAUUGCUUGGUAUCUCGCAGUGAACUUCAGAAUGUGUGUGUAGACUUUCCCAAUCGCACAGUUGAGUCCUAUAAGGCGGCAGUGGAAACUCUAAGGACGACCGAAGAAAAUGUUGUUAAUGGGUUGAAGUUUGACUCCAUUUUCAACUCUCUCAAGUAUUUUCAUGUUGCUCAGCCUGGCCUUCCCCCAUGCCUUGGCCACGAUUUGUUUGAAGGCGUUGUAGUUAUUGAUCUUGGCAUUUUCUUGGAAUACUUUGUAAAAAGGAAGUGGUUUUCAUAUACACAGCUGAACAGGAGACUUGCACAAUUCAAAUAUGUGGGUUCUGAUGCUGGUUCUGCCCCCUCCCAGAUAUGUGAAAAAGGCAGAAAGUUAGGUGGUCAAGCAGCUGAGAACUGGUGUCUCCUCAGAUUUCUUCCUGUCAUAAUUGGAGACCGAGUAGAGUCACAAGACCCUGUAUGGCAACUGACUGUUAAGUUGAAAGAACUGGUUGAGCUAGUGUGUGCUCCCAAGAUUACCACAGCACAGAUUGCAUAUCUCAAUGUCUUAAUACCAGAAUAUCUGGAAACAAGAAAGGAGCUGUUUCCUGGUGAAAAUUUGAAACCAAAACAUCAUUACAUGCUUCACUAUACGUCACUCAUUUUAAGUCUUGGACCUUUAAUUCGUUUGUGGUCAUUGAGAUUUGAAAGCAAACAUUCCUACUUCAAAAGAAGUGUGAGAAGAACACAGAACUUCAAAAAUGUAUGCAAGACAUUGUCACACAACCAUCAACUUCUUCAAGCAUAUCUUCACUCACGGUCCUUUUUUUCACCAAAGCUUAAAAGUGUUGACUUGGCCACAUACUCUCCUCAUUUGUACAGUGAUGCUGUGUGCAAAGCUGUUGAGACAAGCUUGCUUAAUGAACCAGACUUUGUUUCCACACGUGUAGAAUACAAGGGUACCCUGUACAGGAAAGGAAACUUAAUUUGCCUUAAAUGUGAAGAGGAGUAUUCUAUUUUACAGUUUGGACAGAUUGAGCUGAUUUUCGUGAAAGAUGAUGAGGUGACUUUCCUUGUGACUCCCCGCCCCUCAGUGUAUUUGCAUGAUUAUGGACUUUAUGAGAUUUUGUCUGCGACAAAGGAAUUAAUUUGUGUAAAAGCUGAGGAAUGUCUGGAUUAUUAUCCCUUAAAUGAGUACAGUUUUAUGGGACUGAAGGUCAUUACUCUGAAGCACAGCGUUGUUCAUCUGUAAAAAGGAUAAACCGUCCUCUCCCAACAGAAAUGGAUGCAUUGUUGACUUUUAUUGAGAAUGUGUUCCCAAACCCUAUAACUUCAAAGCUAGCCAUAGAGGGUUUGAACAGACUAGGUGUGGAGACCAUAGAUGACCUACAGUUUUUGAAAGAUGAUGAUCUAGGUGGCUUUCUGAGACCGAUUGAAGCAAGAAAACUAAUAGCUCAAAUCCCAAGUAAGUUUUCAAAUCAAUGGUUGUUUUUACAUAUACACUAGUCAACAUUUGAAGCGGAUCAAAAAGUUCAUUAAGUUCACAAGAACAGGUAUUGGUUUUAAGACAACUAUUAUGAAAGGUUUGAUCCACUUGAAAUGUUGACUUGUGUACAUGCAUAUAAUUAGAUGAAACAACACCCCAGUCUCUUUCAUUCUGUACUUUGUUAGCUGUACUCUUUACUUGUAUUACAGUAUGUCAAUGUGUUUCUUGUUUCUGCAGUAUGGUUUUUAAUGCAGUUUUUUGUUUAUGCCAUGUAGAUAUUGCCUCCACUCUGCAAAACACUGCCAAUGAUUUGUCUGCUGAAUACAAUUCUAAUGCAUCAGGUUCACCUGCUCCUGGAUGCUCAGUUUCACCAUCCAGCUCUUCAAGUGGAAGACGUGACAGUAGCUGUGAAACUUCGUUUUAUGACCAUGACUGGCAUUAUAGUUUUGAUGUUCCAUGGCAAAAAAUGCCAGCAAGUUUUAUGGGAAAGUUGCAAAAUGGCGAAAGGCCAAGUUGCUCUGAGAGAAGACAGUUGGUCCGCAUUGUUGCUUCUGAGAUCCUGGAAGUCAGCAAAUGUCCAGCAAAAAAACAUGUAUCACAAAUAGCCCGACAAAUGGUGAUUGCAUACCCAAAGUCUUUCAGAGAUGAGAUUAAUUCCCAGGUUGUAGGAAGUGGAUAUGAUUCUCUCCUCAAACAACUGGUGUGUAGAAUUGACAAUUUGAAAAGAGCAAAAGCUAUUAGUAUACCACUUUGUGGUACUCUAGAAGUAUCAACAAAGAAACGAAAAUUGUUAUAUGGUUGUAUAAAUUCUGAUCCACAACUGCUAGUUGGAGAAACAUCCGAAUUGCAGCAGGAAAAGAAAGAGAAGUUGGUAGUAAUGUUUCAAAAUAAUGAAAGUGAUGUAAAGACAAUCUAUGACUUAAUGACUUCUACAUACACCCCUCAAAGAAACAGCAUCCAAUCUGGAAAGGAAACCAAAGAUUUACUUGAUGAGUGGCCAUAUCUUUUUCAGCCAGCAGGAAUGAAAGCACACUUUAAAGAGCUCACUGGCAUUGACAUAAACAACAGCUUUGAAGAAUCUGCUUCCAGUAAGUUCAGAAGAAUAUUGGACUACUUUCAAUUUCAGUGCACAGAAAGAGCAAGCAGAGCAGGGAGAAUCCUCACAAAGUAUAGAGCUGGAGGGGAUCAUGUUUGUGGGGCCGUGAUGUUGCUGCUAACCCAUUUCAAAAAUGACCAAGACCACUUUCUUGUGAUGGUAGAAGACACCUCUGUUCCAAGUGAUAUAUGCUCAGAACAGCUUCCAGCAACACCAUGUAUAGUAGUGUGUGGAGAGAACCCACUGACAGCCAGUGUGUACAUGGUAGCAGUAGACCAGAUGAUUGUAAAUGACCAUCUCUUGAGUUUUACAGAAGCCCUGUAUCUGAUGUUCUCUCUUUACUAUAUAUUGAACAUCAGUUACCCUGUAGAACUGGGAGCCACACUAGAAUUCUUGCAAAGGUGCAUCUUUAGGAUAAAUCCUCAUAAAGGUACCAAGGUGGAAAAGAGAGAGAAAAAGAGAGCGUACUCUGUCAACCCCAGAGUAUUGAGUCUGACAUCAAAAAUUGCUGCAUUUGAUUGGGGAGAGUAACCGGUAUAGAAGCUCUGUUGUCUUGUAUAGUAGUGGUAGACUACAUCUUCUGUGUUUAUCAUUCAUCGAUGAUAAAGUGGACCAAAGGACAAUCAUUUUUAGAAUUAACUCCAAUAAAUGUGAUUUAAUUGUCUGUGGCCAAAACUGAGAGUAUUUGGUUAAGGCUUGUUGCUGUCUCUGCUCUUCUUUUGGUUUGGGUUUUAAUUGUAACUGUUUGUGUCCCCACAGAUGUGGUCUUUCAGAAGAUUGACAUUUCGCUGAAGAACAGGACAGACCGACUUUUUGUACUUCAGUGCAGCGCUUUGUUGCUUAAAUCAUUUUUAUUACCUUGUGACGUGAUUAGGAUUUAGUUUAAAUUUAUUUAUUUAUUUGAUUGGGACAGUGCAUGUUAAUGAACAAACAUGGAAUACAUGCAUGUAAACAUGCUGGAUUGUAGCCAAAGGCUAAUUUCCAUCCGUAGUCCCACGGGCUAAAAUCACACUGGUCACAAAACAUUACAUAAUAAAAUUUACAUCUACAGUUAGUACAUCGUUUAUCAAUAAAUUAGCUAAAGCCCCAUAUACAAUAUUCACAUAAUACUUGAAAAUUCAUUCAACUUCAAAAUUAUCAGAAUCCAGGCCCAGUGUUUUUGUUUCUUUUAAACUGAACACAUUUGUGUUCUGAAACAUGCUUUAUCCAUUUUCUCCAUGUGACAUGUUCAGGAUUAUCAGAAUUAAUGUCGAUUAUUUUUUUUUUUAUAUUUAUUUUUUUUUUUUUUUUAUUGAACAAAUUUGUUUUCUAAAACAUGACUUUUGCUGGGAAGUGUUUUUCCAUUGUUUGAUCUUGAAGGUUUGCUAUAUAAUAAAAAGCUGAAGUUA